GGCUUAGAAGCAGCCAUCCUUGAAAGAGUGCGUAAUAGCUCACUGGUCAAGUGAUUCUGCGCCGAUAAUGUAGCGGGGCUCAAGUACACCGCCGAAGUUGUGGCAAUGAUCUUUUUUGGAUUGUUGGGUAGGGGAGCGUCGUGUAGCCGGUGAAGCUGCGGUGUAAACCAGUGGUGGAGGCUAUGCGAGUGAGAAUGCAGGCAUGAGUAGCGAAAGAUGAGUGAGAAACUCAUCCGCCGGAUGAUCAAGGGUUCCAGGGUCAAGUUAAUCUGCCCUGGGUUAGUCGGGGCCUAAGGCGAGGCCGACAGGCGUAGUCGAUGGAUAACGGGUUGAUAUUCCCGUACCGGUGAAAAACCGCCCAUACUGAUAUUGUGAUGCUAACCAUGCGAAGCAUGAUGUGCAGGCUUUUGUUUGUGUGUUGUGUGGGUUGUGGGACCCGAUCUUUGGAGGUAAACGUAUUAACAGGUGUGACGCAGGAAGGUAGCCAAGCCACGCGAUGGUUGUCGUGGUCUAAGCGUGUAGGGUUGUCGGUUGUUAAAUGCGCCGGCUGUGUGCCUGAGACGUGAUGGGACCCCGUUUUUGGGGGAUUUGGUGAUCCUAUGCUGCCGAGAAAAGCAUCGGCGUGAGGUUUUAGCCGCCCGUACCCUAAACCGACACAGGUGAUCAGGUAGAGAAUACUAAGGCGAUCGAGAGAAUCAUGGUUAAGGAACUCGGCAAAAUGCCCCCGUAACUUCGGGAGAAGGGGGACCUUGAGCGUGAUGGGCACUUGCUGCCUGGAGCGUGUAUGGGUCGCAGAGACCAGGGGGAAGCGACUGUUUAUCAAAAACACAGGUCCGUGCGAAGUCGUAAGACGAUGUAUACGGACUGACUCCUGCCCGGUGCUGGAAGGUUAAGAGGAUUGGUUAGCCCUUUUGGGCGAAGCUGAGAAUUUAAGCCCCAGUAAACGGCGGUGGUAACUAUAACCAUCCUAAGGUAGCGAAAUUCCUUGUCGGGUAAGUUCCGACCUGCACGAAUGGAGUAACGACUUCCCUACUGUCUCAACCAUGAACUCGGCGAAAUUGCAGUACGAGUAAAGAUGCUCGUUUCGCGCAGCAGGACGGAAAGACCCCGUGACCUUUACUAUAGUUUGGUAUUGGUGUUUGGUUUGGCUUGUGUAGGAUAGGUGGGAGACUGUGAAGCAUGGACGCUAGUUUGUGUGGAGUCGUUGUUGAAAUACCACUCUGGUCAAUCUGGAUGUCUAACUUCGGGCCAUGAUCUGGUUCAGGGACAGUGCCUGAUGGGUAGUUUAACUGGGGCGGUUGCCUCCUAAAGUGUAACGGAGGCGCCCAAAGGUUCCCUCAGCCUGGUUGGCAAUCAGGUGUUGAGUGUAAGUGCACAAGGGAGCUUGACUGUGAGACUGGCAGGUCGAGCAGGGACGAAAGUCGGGACUAGUGAUCCGGCGGUACGUUGUGGAACGGCCGUCGCUCAACGGAUAAAAGGUACCUCGGGGAUAACAGGCUGAUCUUGCCCAAGAGUCCAUAUCGACGGCAUGGUUUGGCACCUCGAUGUCGGCUCGUCGCAUCCUGGGGCUGGAGUCGGUCCCAAGGGUUGGGCUGUUCGCCCAUUAAAGCGGUACGCGAGCUGGGUUCAGAACGUCGUGAGACAGUUCGGUCCCUAUCCGCUGCGCGCGUUGGAAAUUUGAGAAAGGCUGUCCUUAGUACGAGAGGACCGGGACGGACGAACCUCUGGUAUGUCAGUUGUACCGCCAGGUGCAUGGCUGAUUGGCUACGUUCGGGAGGGAUAACCGCUGAAAGCAUCUAAGCGGGAAGCCUGUUUCGAGAUGAGAUUUCCUGGCACUUUGGUGUGUGAGGCUCCUUAUAGAUGAUGAGGUUGAUAGGCCGGGUAUGGAAGCGGGGACUGAAGACUCGUGGAGUUGACUGGUACUAAUAGGCCGAAGGCUUACUUU
rnacentral:rRNA from 1 species